rnacentral:rRNA from 1 species
AAUCAACGCUGGCGGCGUGCCUAACACAUGCAAGUCGAACGAGAAAGUGGAGCAAUCCAUGAGUAAAGUGGCGCACGGGUGAGUAACACGUGACUAACCUACCCUUGAGGUGGGGGAUAACCUAGGGAAACCUGGGCUAAUACCGCAUAAUACCGUACGGGUCAAAGGAGCAAUUCGCGUUUGGGGAGGGGGUCGCGGCCGAUUAGUUAGUUGGCAGGGUAAUGGCCUACCAAGACGAUGAUCGGUAUCCGGCCUGAGAGGGCGCACGGACACACUGGAACUGAAACACGGUCCAGACUCCUACGGGAGGCAGCAGGUGGGGAAUUUUGCGCAAGUCGGGGGAAACCCUGACGCAGCAACGCCGCGUGGAGGAUG